rnacentral:rRNA from 1 species
GAUGAACGCUGGCGGUAUGCUUAACACAUGCAAGUCGAACGGUACCUUCGGGUAUAGUGGCGGACGGGUGAGUAACGCGUGAGAAUCUGUCUUCAGGUCGGGGACAACAGUUAGAAAUGACUGCUAAUACCGGAUAUGCCUUAUGGUGAAAGAUUUAUUGCCUGAAAGAGAGCUCGCGUCAGAUUAGCUAGUAGGUGGUGUAAGAGACUACCUAGGCGACGAUCUGUAGCUGGUCUGAGAGGACGAUCAGCCACACUGGAACUGAGACACGGUCCAGACUCCUACGGGAGGCAGCAGUGGGGAAUUUUCCGCAAUGGGCGAAAGCCUGACGGAGCAAUACCGCGUGAGGGACGAAGGCUUUUGGGUCGUAAACCUCUUUUCUCAAGGAAGAUUUAGACGGUACUUGAGGAAUAAGCAUCGGCUAACUCUGUGCCAGCAGCCGCUGUAAU